UACAGAGGGUGCGAGCGUUAAUCGGAAUUACUGGGCGUAAAGCGCGCGUAGGCGGCUUUGCAAGUCGGGUGUGAAAUCCCCAAGCUUAACUUGGGAACUGCAUUCGAGACUGCAUUGCUAGAGUAUGGGAGAGGGAAGUGGAAUUUCCGGUGUAGCGGUGAAAUGCGUAGAUAUCGGAAGGAACAUCAGUGGCGAAGGCGGCUACCUGGCCCAAUACUGACACUCAGGUGCGACAGCGUGGGGAGCAAACAGG
rnacentral:rRNA from 1 species